UACGAAGGGGGCUAGCGUUGUUCGGAAUUACUGGGCGUAAAGCGUGCGCAGGCGGCUUGCAAGACAGAUGUGAAAUCCCCGGGCUCAACCUGGGAACUGCAUUUGUGACUGCAUGGCUGGAGUGCGGCAGAGGGGGAUGGAAUUCCGCGUGUAGCAGUGAAAUGCGUAGAUAUGCGGAGGAACACCGAUGGACGAGGCAAUCCCCUGGGCCUGCACUGACGCUCAUGCACGAAAGCGUGGG
rnacentral:rRNA from 1 species